CAUUACUUUGUAUUUUUUGUUUUUAUAUUUGGAUACUUUUAUACUUUGUUUUGUUAUUACUAACUCGCAGCGACGUAACAAUGAGCUUCCUCUCUCUCUCUCUCUCUCUCUUUCUCUUAUUUUGCGUUCGUUACUAUAUAUCACUAUAGUUACUAGCUGCUCCUAGCCUAAAUAUGCGCUUACGUUUCUAUCGAUUGAGCUUUUGUUAUAGAGAUAUUUCUCUGAAAUCGAUUUUCUGACAGUGGCACGAAAGGGUGAAAUUCAAGUUGCUUUAACGACGCGUUCUCCACCAAUGUAUUUUUCUACCAAGUUCCGUCGCCUAUCGACUACCCUUGAGCGUGCCCGCGUCAGCAAUGACGUUUUGUACGAACUUUACCAGCGGCACGGGGUGAAGCCGAUUCUUCUCGUAGAAUGACAAUGAAUCGCUUCUGUACGAUCGACAGGAUUUCCCGCUGUCGGUCCUUUGUCGCCCUCGAGAAUCGACGCGGAUUGUGCCCCGGGCGAGAGAAAAUAUUUGCCGUCGGCGACCCACAAUACGUCCACUUGUGUGGGAAGCGGUUAUGGCAAGCUCGGCGACGUAUAACUCUAUUUAUCUCGGUUGAAUACUGGCCUUCGUGCUUCUUGCUCGACAUGUUGGACAAUCCAUAUUCCUCGGGAGUGCAGUUCUGUCAAGCUCAUGCUCGAUUAAACCUUAAUCCAAUUCCAAGUCGGAUAUUCUUGCCUUCUAUCCUUGUUCAAUACAUUCACGCAUUUUGAAAAUUACUCUAUAUACUUUACACUCUAAAUUAAUAUUUUGUACUCAUUGUCGACAAAGAAUAGAAAUUUUUUUUAUAUAAUAAAACGUAUAUUUAUUAACAAUGUUUUAUAUAUAUACUAGACACCACAGAUGGACGCUUCGCGCGUACUAUUUAAGUUUUCAUUUUUUACUUUUUUAAAAUAAAUUACAAUAAUAAUUGAAUAGAUAACCAUCUAUACAAAUUUUCAUUUGUUAACUCCACGAUGACAGUCUUUCAUCAAAUUAGCGCAACAAGAGAAUCAAUCAGCGUUGCGAAAAAGCGGUGACAUUACCAUAGGUUUAUGAAAUAUGUCAUGAACGGAUUACACCAUGUGACUUGGUUGCAAGAGCUUAAAUAGAGGGUCUCACCUUACGAUCACAUAAUACUCUGACAAUGAGAUCUGAAAUCUUCCGUAGCAUCCAGUAUAUACUGUAUAUACUCUGUGGUUUCAGAGAUACAAUAAAAAUUUAUAUUUUAAUUUUUUCACAAAACUUUUCUGUAAUUAUAUAAAAAGUUUUAUAAUCCUUAAUAUUGUAAUAAUAUACAGUACAUUAAACAUAUGUUUAAAAUGGCGACGAGCACAAAAAUAGAAGAAAUUUGCAAAAUACUUGUAACUCUCUUGUAAAUAGAGAUACAUUCAUCAGUCAAAUACAGCUGCAGAUUUUUGGAGAAUAGUUUUCCCACAAGAUAUUCUCAGCUGCGUGACCCUCGAGGAUGCAUGCAUCUAAGCUAUACCAAAGAUCUUUCGAAAUCUAAAAGAAGCACGAAUCACAUCACUCUCGGAGUAAUACUGAAGAGUCUGAAUUAAAUCGGACGCGUGAGCACUCGAUCAAUUACUUUAGCAUUAACGCCUUACAGUUGAAUCGCACUUUUACCGAUCGCGUUUCACUCGGCCAGUUUUGAGCGUGCACCUGAGAACGGCGAUUCUUUACGGAACUUGGUUUUUCGAGUGGUAAGAUCGUGAGAUUUAACAGGGUCGGAAACAUUUUUUGAAUAUUGACAGCCCUCCGCACGCACACACAAUUUGUUGGCUCCUCCCUGAAAGUAUAUCCAUCCUUUUAGCUGCUCAAGAUUGCUCUAACAGGAUUAUGUCGAGAGAUGGCGAACAAUUGCCAAUUACGUUGUCAACUUUACAAACGUUCUCCUUUUUCUCGUUUAUUUUCUUUUAAAUAUUACUAAUUCUAGUUAGAAAAUUGCAACUUGGUUUCAAUUUUAAAUAAACAUUUUAAAUAAAUAGUAAUACAAUAUUUAUAUAAGAAUAAAAUAUUAUAUUUAUAUAAGAUUUAGACUGGAAUUGAGAAGAUCUUAAAUUUUGAUUAUCGACAUAUUUUUCUAUUUAUAUAUAGCAUUUCUCACAUUUCGUGUGAUAUUAAAUAAUGAUAAGUGAGUUUAAUAAUACGGAAUAAACGGGGCAAGUACAUUGUGGUAACAGAAGGGUGAAAUAAAACGGCGAGAACCGUCACUUCAAAUUCUGGUCCAGGUUCACCCUAGCCUCUUCGUCACUCUUGUUUCGCAAGAAUGACGUUUUAACAAUCAUGAAUAUGACGUCUUCCUUUUCGAGAAGGGUCUAUCCUAUCGUGCAAACCAAAGGUUAAUGGCUCCCAGAUUUUCCACGUAUUCACACAUAUAUAAAUAUUCUCUUCUCUCCUAUUCAUGUCGCUCCGUGAUGUCUCUGUGUCGAUUUCAAGACACAGAUUGCUUCACAUGUGGAAAGUAACGUUUAUCUUUUUCUUUACAUAGGAGAGUGUAUUGUUAUGCAAAGUAAUUUCAACGUUUUUGUAUCUACAUGCAUAUUCUUUUACUUAGGUAUCUAUACAGUAACACAAUAAUAUUAAACCUACGAUUGUUUUUCAUUCAAUUUAUCUUUAUGUCUUAAAUUUAAAUUUUAUAAUAAACAAACAUUAUAUAGAAAUAUAGAAAUAUAGACCUAUGUAGGAGCUGUAUAUGUUUUGCCAAUAAUAAGAGCACGGAAUAAGGGCACGACACUGGAUUGAUAUGGAAAAACGGAUAUCAUUUUUUAUAUUGGCUCAAUACUACAUCAGUAUUAAAAAAUAGUUGUAUUAUUGGUACUGGUUCCGUAUAAAAAAUUGGCACUAAAUAAUCUUAUUAUGUUUAUACUGAAACAGUAUUAAAAAUCAUUAAUCAUUUUUCGAUUUUGAUCCACUGCUACAAAAUUUCUAAUGCCAUAAACUGUCAUAGUUCUAAACACACACAAAAAUUUACUUAAAGAUGUAUCGGACUGAAGUUCAAAAUGGUACAAAGUUGCUAAAAAUUUGUGAAAUUGUUCUCUUAGUUUCCUUAAUGUACUGCAAAAAAUUGAAAACGCAUCCACUAAACGGUUGUUGAGUUAUAACUAUUUUAAUUUUCACUGAUUUUACAUGAUAUCCUUUUCUAUCUUAUGGAAAAAGACGAUCUUGACGGAUGAAACAG
rnacentral:lncRNA from 1 species